rnacentral:lncRNA from 1 species
CGGGGCUCGCAGCUCAAGGCAAACACAGUGGAGGGGGGUCCGCCGAAACCCAGCACCGGGAUGAGCAGGUCGGCGAAGAACACAAAAGCUGCUCCCAGAGCAAAGCCCACAGCCACAGGGAGGAAAGCGAAGGCUCCAAAGCUGCCAGAGUGCUCGGCCAUCUCGAUAGCCGGGGCCAAGAGGGACCAGUAGGAGGCGGCCAGCAUGACCCCCGCAGCAAAGCCCAGGCUCCCAUCCAGGAUCCGCCUCUGCCCGCUGGAGAAGAUGAACACCAGCGCUGAGCCAGCAGCUGUCAGCCCCCAGGUGAGGAGGGUUCCCAGCACCGCCUGCAGCACCGGGCCCUGCCCUGGGAUCAUGCUGAGCGCACGGGGAGCGGCAGCCGCCCGGCCCCGAACCCCGG